UGGGGAAUAUUGCACAAUGGGCGCAAGCCUGAUGCAGCCAUGCCGCGUGUAUGAAGAAGGCCUUCGGGUUGUAAAGUACUUUCAGCGGGGAGGAAGGGAGUAAAGAUAAUACCUUUGCUCAUUGACGUUACCCGCAGAAGAAGCACCGGCUAACUCCGUGCCAGCAGCCGCGGUAAUACGGAGGGUGCAAGCGUUAAUCGGAAUUACUGGGCGUAAAGCGCACGCAGGCGGUUUGUUAAGUCAGAUGUGAAAUCCCCGGGCUCAACCUGGGAACUGCAUCUGAUACUGGCAAGCUUGAGUCUCGUAGAGGGGGGUAGAAUUCCAGGUGUAGCGGUGAAAUGCGUAGAGAUCUGGAGGAAUACCGGUGGCGAAGGCGGCCCCCUGGACGAAGACUGACGCUCAGGUGCGAAAGCGUGGGGAGCAAACAGG
rnacentral:rRNA from 1 species